rnacentral:lncRNA from 1 species
UUGUUUAGAUAUUAAUACAGACUGAUCGUCUCUAAAGCAAGUGGUAAAGGAUUUGGUGAUUGGUACUCGAAGUCCCAAAUUCGAAUCCUACUUGAUUCACAUUUCCAGCUAAGUUUAUUUCUAAAUGAAAUAAACGAAGCGAGUAACGUACUAUCUAUCUCUCUCUCCAAAAAAACAGAAUCAAUACAAAAGAUUAAGAGUUUGAAUCUUACCAGGCUCUUUGCUUUUAGUUAGUUUCCGCUCUUUGCUUCAGUUAAUUUCAUCUCAUUAAACUCAAAUUCACGUUAUAUCAAAAAACUCCCGAUCUCUAACAUUGCUCUCUCUAUUCAUUUAAACUUCUGGAGAAUAAUGAUUGUCUUAUAUUAUCAUACACGUAGAUGACUUUGAGGGCGAGGAAAUAAGGCACGUUUUUGUGACUUGUUGGGUUAGAAUA